UUAUAAGACAAAACAAUAUACAUGAUAACACUUCCAACCAGUUAAGAUCAGAAGCCAGGAGAGCCACUGUCUGGUAUUGCAUCAGGGCAUUAUUAUUAUUAUUAUUAUUAUUAUUAUUAUUAUUAUGUAUGUUGUAGUGUAGUAGUGAUAACUUUUUUGGCCUACCAAAUCCAUGACCCAUAUUUAAUUUCCUGGUCAAAACUUUAUUUUUUACCAACAUUGCUAUUGCCAUUCAGCUAGAGAAAUGGAUUUGUUUCUUUCAGUUCGUUUGAAAAGUUCCACUCAUUAAUUUAUGGUUGAAUGCUGAGCCAUUCCCAGGGCAUUGAACUAUAAAAAUAAUUGUUCCAACACAAUAUAUUCUGAUCAAUCACACAUGGAAAAAUUCAUUGUAAAUAACCAAGUAUAUAUAUGGAGAUAUAUAGCAAGAUAUGUAGAUAGAUGUAUGAUAUAAAACCAUAUAUACCAGGAAUGGCAUUGAACAUUUUGGGGAUCUUCUGCUUGUGCUUAAGGUCAUGGUGCUCCCACAUUCCUGAGCCUGCAACCCAUAUUUGCACUGGAUAUCUACCCUAGCUUUGUCUUUGAAUCAUGUCACUAGGGGGCAGAGGAUCUACGAAGUGCUGUGCAAGCCUUAUUGGACCUAAAAUUUUAGAUUGAGCAAAAUCCAGCAGGACAGCUAUCUGAUGCCUUGUCAAAUAGGAAGGCGCCGUGGUAAGCAUGGAGUCUGCAGACGCAAACCCAAGUGAAGCUGACUGCUGGUGUAACAGCCUAAUACACAAGUAUUGCUGGUAUUUUGCAUGGGCAAUGAUCAGUGAAGGUCUUUCUUGGUCAUGAGUAAACAACCAUCAUAUCAUUUGUAUGCAUUUAUAAUAAUGACAAUAAUAAUAAUAAUAAUAAUAAUAAUGAUGAUGAUGUAACGAGUGGAGCUUAUGGCAUUAUAUUUAAUCCAUGGUUUACAAUUGUUUCAACAGCUUACAGAUGACCACUGAAACAUCAUGACUAUAGGUAUGGAUGGUAGGGAUGACUUAGUGUUUUGUAUUAUGCAAUGGAUAUUACAUAACAGCACCAGAAGUCAUUUAACCAUAACCAAUCAGAGAAAUAUAUUUUCAUUGCAUUUUAAUUUAAAUGGCAUCUUGAAAAUACAAUAUGUAUAAAACUUAUAUGAUCGAGUUGGAACUUAAAAGCUGAGAGUAUAAGAAACCAAACAACAAAAUUGUAGGUCUUGUGAUCAAAUUCACUUCAGGAGUUUUGUUGUGUACUUAGAGAAAAAAAAACCCAGUAAAAUAAUUAGAUAAAUGCAAAACUACUAAAUUUAUAUAUUCUUGUUUAUCUAGCUAAUUAGAUGUUGUGAUAGAAUUGUCUCUGAUUUGGGAAGCAGAUGUAUUUUUAAUCUGCUUGAGACCAAAGUUAAAUGCUAGUUCUUAUGGUUCUUUGUAAUCUAUGAAAGGAUAUUUUAAAUUCUAACAUUUUAAAAAAUUGAUCAAGAUGAAAUGGUUGAGUGGAUAAAAACAAAUUGACUUAUGAAUCUGUAGAUCAUGAGUUCAAAUGUAUCACUAGUUGUUAUGGAUCUUUGUAAUCUGUGGGAGAGGUUUUCAAUUUUAGUUUUUUUUUAAAACUAAAGAUUACAAUGAAAUAGUUGAGUGGGUAAAAUAUUGGCCUAAUAAUUUAUAAAUCGCAAGUUCAAAUCUGUUGUUAGUUGUCAAGGAUCUUUGUUAUCUAUGAGAUUUUUCUUGAAUUAAAAUUUUUUUUUAAUUAAAAAUCAUGAUGAAAUGGUUGAGUGGAUAAAAUAUUGGCCUGUUAAUUAAUAGAUCACAGGUUCAAAUCUAUUGCAAGAAUUUCAAUGUAUUUUUAUGACAAGGUGUUGAAUUCUCUGUGCCUCAGUUCACCUAAAUGUUGGAAUUAGGUCACAGAUAUUCUGGGAUUUGAUCUCCCGCAUAUUCUUUAAUUCGAUGAUGACAAUUAUAAGCUUUAUGUGAUUUUGAAACUGUUAAAAAAAAAAAAAAUGAAACCCCAAAAGACUCUAGACACUUGAGAAAAAAUUACCUGUAAAUAAAGUUUCCUCCAUGUCCAGCUUGUACUUUUUAAGUACUUUACCUACCAAACACAAAAAAAAAUUAUUGAUUUGCAAAAAAUGUACUCUAAAAAUAUAUUAAUAUAUUUGCUAUUAGUUUACAGAACUAGAGACCAAACUUAAGCAAUGACAAUUAGUUAAUGAUUUAUUUAUUUAUUUUCUUUCAUAUUUUCAUUUACCAGAUUUUCUGGGUUUCAUUCUAUUUUAGUGACCCCUUUCCCCAGUUCUCCAACUCCUCUUCAUUAAAGGUUUGCUCCUUCGGAUGUUAUACCAUCUACAUACUUAGCCCUUGUUAUAAAAACAAACAAC